UGGAAACUGUGACCCCAAACGAACUGUAAAUGGACAGGAUGGAUGUCUUUAUGACGGUAUGGUCCUAAAAGCCGGUGAGACCAUCACCAUUCAGGGAACAACAACUGAACUCAUGUGUCUCGGACACAACUUGUAUAAAGAAUUCAUUCAUUAAGAAGUUGUGAACAAGUGAAGUAUCAUACAUACCAGUAUUUCAUCGAUC